rnacentral:lncRNA from 1 species
UCCACAUAAACUAGUUAUAACUAAAGCUAUUACUGAAGUUCCUGUUCAAUAGCUAUAGCUGAAGCUCAGAAGCUUGGACAUUUGGAGGCCCAGGCAAAGCCACACCUACCCCUGCUCUUCAGGAUGCUGUCUCCCACCCUCCAACCCCAUGCUAAUCUGUGACACCUGAAAGCACAGGAUGGCUCCUAACAAGCAAUGCUUCCUGCAAGAGCCUUUUGAAAGGGAUAGAGCCUCCCUCUGUUGCCCACACUGCUUUUGAACUCCUGGUCUCAAGUGAUCCUCCCACCUCGGCCUCCCAAAGUGCUGGGAUUACAGAUGUGAGCCACUGCACCUGGCGGAGAUGACUUUUUAAAAGCCUUUAUAAGGAUAUGAACAGACACUUCUCAAAAGAAGACAUUUAUGCAGCCAACAGACACAUGAAAAAAUGCUCAUCAUCACUGGCCAUCAGAGAAAUGCAAAUCAAAACCACAAUGAGAUACCAUCUCACACCAGUUAGAAUGGCGAUCAUUAAAAAGUUAGGAAACAACAGGUGCUAGAGAGGAUGUGGAGAAAUAGGAACACUUUUACACUGUUGGUGGGACUGUAAACUAGUUCAACCAUUGUGGAAGACAGUGUGGUGAUUCCUCAAGGAUCUAGAACUAGAAAUACCAUUUGACCCAGCAAUCCCAUUACUGGGUAUAUACCCAAAGGAUUAUAAAACAUGCUGCUAUAAAGGCACAUGCACACGUAUGUUUAUUGUGGCACUGUUCACAAUAGCAAAGACUUGGAACCAACCCAAAUGUCCAUCAAUGAUAGACUGGAUUGAGAAAAUGUGGCACAUAUACACCAUGGAAUACUAUGCAGCCAUACAAAAGGAUGAGUUCAUGUCCUUCGUAGGGACAUGGAUGAAGCUGGAAACCAUCAUUCUCAGCAAACCAUCGCAAGAGCAAAAAACCAAACACCACAUGUUCUCACUCACAGGUGGGAAUUGAACAAUGAGAACACUUGGACACAGGAAGGGGAACAUCACACACCGGGGCCUGUCGUGGAGUGGGGGGAGGGAGGAGGGGGGAGGGAUAGCAUUAGGAGAUAUACCUAAUGCUAAAUGACGAGUUAAUGGGUGCGGCACACCAACAUGGCACAUGUAUACAUAUGUAACAAACCUGCACGUUGUGCACAUGUACCCUAAAACUUAAAGUAUAAUAAAAAAAAUUUUAAAAAGCCUUUAUAAACUA